rnacentral:rRNA from 1 species
AGUGAACGCUGGCGGCAGGCCUAACACAUGCAAGUCGAGCGGCAGCGGGUCCUUCGGGAUGCCGGCGAGCGGCGGACGGGUGAGGAAUACAUCGGAAUCUGCCCUGUCGUGGGGGAUAACCUAGGGAAACUUAGGCUAAUACCGCAUACGACCUACGGGUGAAAGCGGGGGAUCGCAAGACCUCGCGCGACAGGAUGAGCCGAUGUCCGAUUAGCUAGUUGGCGGGGUAAAGGCCCACCAAGGCGACGAUCGGUAGCUGGUCUGAGAGGAUGAUCGGCCACACUGGGACUGAGACACGGCCCAGCCUCCUACGGGAGGCAGCAGUGGGGAAUAUUGGACAAUGGGCGCAAGCCUGAUCCAGCCAUGCCGCGUGGGUGAAGAAGGCCUUCGGGUUGUAAAGCCCUUUUGUCCGGGAAGAAAUCGUCUGGGCUAAUACCCCGGGCGGAUGACGGUACCGGAAGAAUAAGCACCGGCUAACUUCGUG